rnacentral:rRNA from 1 species
AACCAAUAUUUUUUGGUGACUCAUAAUAACUUUACGGAUCACAUUAUGUGACAUAUCAUUCAAGUUUCUGACCUAUCAGCUUUAGACGGUAGGGUAUUGGCCUACCGUGGCUAUGACGGGUAACGGGGAAUUAGGGUUCGAUUCCGGAGAGGGAGCCUGAGAAACGGCUACCACAUCUAAGGAAGGCAGCAGGCGCGCAAAUUACCCAAUCCUAAUACAGGGAGGUAGUGACAAGAAAUAACAAUACAGAACCUUACGGUUUUGUAAUUGGAAUGAGUUAAGUAUAAACCCCUUAACAAGUAUCAAUUGGAGGGCAAGUCUGGUGCCAGCAGCCGCGGUAAUUCCAGCUCCAAUAGCGUAUAUUAAAGUUGUUGCAGUUAAAAAGCUCGUAGUUAAUCUUCUGUUAAUUUUUAUAUAUAAUAUUUCGAUAUUUAUAUAAUAUUAACAUAAUUCAUAUUACUUUUUAGUAUAUGAAACUUUACUUUGAGAAAAUUAGAGUGCUUAAAGCAGGCUAUUGCCUUGAAUACUCCAGCAUGGAAUAAUAUUAAGGAUUUUUAUUCUUCUUAUUGGUUCUAGAAUAAAAAUGAUGAUUAAUAGGAACAGUUGGGGGCAUUUGUAUUUAACAGUCAGAGGUGAAAUUCUUAGAUUUGUUAAAGACAAACUACUGCGAAAGCAUUUGCCAAGGAUGUUUUCAUUAAUCAAGAACGAAAGUUAGGGGAUCGAAGACGAUCAGAUACCGUCGUAGUCUUAACCAUAAACUAUGCCAACUAGAGAU